GACGAACGCUGGCGGCGUGCUUAACACAUGCAAGUCGAACGGAAAGGCCCUGCCUUUGUGGGGUGCUCGAGUGGCGAACGGGUGAGUAACACGUGAGUAACCUGCCUUUGACUCUGGGAUAACUUCAGGAAACUGGGGCUAAUACCGGAUAGGAGCUUUUGACGCAUGGUGGGGGUUGGAAAGUUUCGGCGGUCUGGGAUGGACUCGUGGCUUAUCAGCUCGUUGGGGGGGUAGUGGCUUACCAAGGCUUUGACGGGUAGCCGGCCAGAGAGGUUGACCGGCCACAAGGGGACUGCGAUACGGACCAGUCGCGUACGGGAUGCAACAGUGGAGAGUAUGGCACAGUAGGGGGAAGCCAGAGACAACGGCGCCGCGUGCGGGAUGACGGCCUGCGAGGUGAAAACCGCUUUCGCCUGUGACGAAGCGAGAGUGACGGUAAUGAGUAAAAAAGCAACGGCUAACUACGUG
rnacentral:rRNA from 1 species